UACGUAGGGGGCAAGCGUUGUCCGGAAUUAUUGGGCGUAAAGAGCGCGCAGGCGGUCGUUCAAGUCGCGUGUGAAAGCCCCCGGCUCAACUGGGGAGGGUCACGCGAUACUGAUCGACUCGAAGGCAGGAGAGGGUAGUGGAAUUCCCGGUGUAGUGGUGAAAUGCGUAGAUAUCGGGAGGAACACCAGUGGCGAAGGCGACUACCUGGCCUGUUUCUUGACGCUGAGGCGCGAAAGCUAGGGGAGCAAACGGG
rnacentral:rRNA from 1 species